UAGGUAUAUGUGUGAGAUUCAAAUUUGAAAUUUUGAAAAGUUCAAAAAUUUUGAUAUGAGUAAAGAAAUAAAUUAGAAAAUACUUAAGAUUCUUCAAUGAGAUCGAAGAGGUGUUUGCCUUAGUAGGAGUUUCUAACCUAUCUCAAGAAAAUGGCAUAGUCUCAUAACGGACUCUUUUUAGUGCACCUCAACUUAAUGGGGUGUCG
rnacentral:lncRNA from 1 species